GACGAACGCUGGCGGCGUGCUUAACACAUGCAAGUCGAACGAAGUGGCGCACGGGAGAGUAACGCGUGAUAAACCUGCCCUUAAGAGGGGGACAACAGUUGGAAACGACUGCUAAUACCGCAUACUGAAGGAGGGGAGUGCGUCGGCUUAGCUCGUUGGCGGGGUAACGGCCCACCAAGGCGAUGAUCAGUAGCCGGUCUUAGAGGAUGAACGGCCACAUGGGGACUGAGACACGGCCCAGACUCCUACGGGAGGCAGCAGUGGGGAAUCUUCCGCAAUGGACGAAAGUCUGACGGAGCAACGCCGCGUGAGUGAUGACGGCCUUCGGGUUGGAAAGCUCUUUUAAUCGGGACGCGGUACCGGAAUAGAAAGCCACGGCUAACUACGUGCCAGCAGCCGCGGUAAUAC
rnacentral:rRNA from 1 species